GAUGAAGAACGUAGCGAAAUGCGAUAAGUAAUGUGAAUUGCAGAAUUCAGUGAAUCAUCGAAUCUUUGAACGCACCUUGCACCCUUUGGUAUUCCGAAGGGUAUGCUCGUUUGAGUGUCAUUGUACUCUCACACUUCUAAUUCCUUUCGGGAUUGGGAGCGGUGGACUUGGGUGUUGCUGCUUUAGUUGUGGCUCACCUCAAAUAAGUUAGUGCAACUCUUGGUUGGACAUAGUACGGCGUGAUAAGUGUCUUCGCCGGCGCCUCUGUAAGGAGGGUGGCCGAUCGGGAGCUCUGUGCUUUCAAACCGUCUUCGGACAACGCUGACAACUUGACCUCAAAUCGAGUAGGACUACCCGCUGAACUUAAGCAUAUCAAUAAGCGGAGGA
rnacentral:misc_RNA from 1 species